rnacentral:rRNA from 1 species
UUUAGAGUUUGAUCCCAUGGCUCAGAUUGAACGCUGGCGGCAGGCUUAACACAUGCAAGUCGAGCGGUAACAGGUCCUUCGGGAUGCUGACGAGCGGCGGACGGGUGAGUAAUGCAUAGGAAACUGCCCAGUAGUGGGGGAUAGCCCGGGGAAACCCGGAUUAAUACCGCGUACGCCCUUCGGGGGAAAGCAGGGGCUCUUCGGACCUUGCGCUAUUGGAUGUGCCUAUGUCGGAUUAGCUAGUUGGUGGGGUAAGAGCCUACCAAGGCGACGAUCCGUAGCUGGUCUGAGAGGAUGAUCAGCCACAUCGGGACUGAGACACGGCCCGAACUCCUACGGGAGGCAGCAGUGGGGAAUAUUGGACAAUGGGGGCAACCCUGAUCCAGCCAUGCCGCGUGUGUGAAGAAGGCUUUCGGGUUGUAAAGCACUUUCAGCGAGGAGGAAAAGUUGGUCACUAAUAUUGGCCAGCCUUGACGUACUCGCAGAAGAAGCACCGGCAA